rnacentral:rRNA from 1 species
UACGGAGGGUGCGAGCGUUAGUCGGAAUAACUGGGCGUAAAGGGCACGCAGGAGGGCUUUUAAGUGAGAUGUGAAAUCCCCGGGCUUAACCUGGGAAUAGCAUUUCAGACUGGGAGUCUAGAGUGCUUUAGGGAGGAGUAGAAUUCCACGUGUAGCGGUGAAAUGCGUAGAGAUGUGGAGGAAUACCGAAGGCGAAGGCAGCCGCUUGGGAAUGUACUGACGCUCAUGUGCGAAAGCGUGGGGAGCAAACAGG